GAUCCUACGGGACGCAGCAGUGAGGAAUAUUGGUCAAUGGCCGGAAGGCUGAACCAGCCAAGCCGCGUGAAGGACGAAGGUGCCAAGCAUUGUAAACUUCUUUUGUCAAGGGACAAAAUCAGGCUCGAGAGCCUGACCGAGGGUACUUGAAGAAAAAGCAUCGGCUAACUCCGUGCCAGCAGCCGCGGUAAUACGGAGGAUGCGAGCGUUAUCCGGAUUUAUUGGGUUUAAAGGGUGCGUAGGCGGAUCGUUAAGUAAGUGGUCAAAUUGAGGGGCUCAACCCCUUCUCGCCAUUG
rnacentral:rRNA from 1 species